GUUCCAUUGUGAAAAGCAUUUGUUGUUAAACACUUAAACAGAUAUUGAAAUGUUAUGGGCAAGCAACCAUAAAACAAGAGAGGAAGUUGUUUGUUCCAAUACAAUCCUCACAACAGAAGUUUUAAUGCAGCUGAAUGGGAAUCGAAUGCAUGGUUGGAUGAUAAGAUAAUGGAUGCGUACCUGUCAUUCCUCUGUUUAAAGAAGGUGUGUGUCUGCAUUUUUCGCUGUUGUUUAACAUCUUCUGUAACAUGUUUAUUUCACAUCAAUUAGGCCAACAUGCAUGCGGUUUCUGUACUGGUAGCAACCGAGCUUUGGUGGCAUGCCAACACAUCAAGACUAUCUAGACAAAGUCUGUUCUUUGGACAGAACAUGGUCACACAACACUGGCUGUCAUUGGAUAUUUAUGGGUUAUGAUGUAAAUGAAGACACCAUGACCAUCUACGAUCCACAGGGGAGAGAAGCAUUUGAGUUCUCAGAAAUGAUCAUCUGCAUUGUGUGAACCUAAAAAAUCCUGAGAUGCAUUUGGAAACAUCCACUUCAACAAGACUCGCAUAACUGUGGAGUAUUAAGUUUAAUAGCAGCAACUUAUUUUGUUAAAAACAAACCUUUAUCCAAAAUUUCAAGUAGAGAAAAUUUUUGCUUGAAAUAUCGAAAACUGAUUGGCAAUCACCUGCUUUCUAUGAAUGAUACUGAAAGGAUGUCUUCAACAUGUAUGAACUGUAAGAUUCAUGGUGCUCAGGAACAAAAGACAUCUAUCAUGGUUGCAUGUUCAGGGUGUGGAAGAUCAAUGCACAGUGAGUGCAUUCUUGAUUGGCCACAGUGUGCGUUUGCCAUAAUGCCUAAAAAAUAUUAUUUCUUAAUAAAGAAUAUCCUACCCGAUUAGGUUUAUACUGGGAGAA